UCCUCCCUCUGGCGGCGUGCUUAACACAUGCAAGUCGAACGGAAAGGCCCUGCUUUUGUGGGGUGCUCGAGUGGCGAACGGGUGAGUAACACGUGAGUAACCUGCCCUUGACUUUGGGAUAACUUCAGGAAACUGGGGCUAAUACCGGAUAGGAGCUCCUGCUGCAUGGUGGGGGUUGGAAAGUUUCGGCGGUUGGGGAUGGACUCGCGGCUUAUCAGCUUGUUGGUGGGGUAGUGGCUUACCAAGGCUUUGACGGGUAGCCGGCCUGAGAGGGUGACCGGCCACAUUGGGACUGAGAUACGGCCCAGACUCCUACGGGAGGCAGCAGUGGGGAAUAUUGCACAGUGGGCGGAAGCCUGAUGCAGCAACGCCGCGUGCGGGAUGACGGCCUUCGGGUUGUAAACCGCUUUCGCCUGUGACGAAGCGUGAGUGACGGUAAUGGGUAAAGAAGCACCGGCUAACUACGUG
rnacentral:rRNA from 1 species